rnacentral:rRNA from 1 species
AUUUUUGGUGAAACUUUAAAGUAGUGCAGCCAACUCAGAAGCUAAGCAGGGUCAGGCCUGGUUAGUAUUUGGAUGGGAGACCACCUAGGAAGACCAGGUGCUAUAGGCG